rnacentral:rRNA from 1 species
UACAGAGGUCCCAAGCGUUGUUCGGAUUCACUGGGCGUAAAGGGUGCGUAGGUGGCCAGGUAAGUUUGGUGUGAAAGCUCGGAGCUUAACUCCGAAAUGUCAUUGAAUACUAUCUGGCUGGAGGGUCGGAGGGGAGACUGGAAUUCUCGGUGUAGCAGUGAAAUGCGUAGAUAUCGAGAGGAACACCAGUGGCGAAGGCGAGUCUCUGGACGACUCCUGACACUGAGGCACGAAAGCCGGGGGGAGCAAACAGG